CAGCGCGACAGUAAAGAAUGCUGACCGUAUGCAAGUCAGUCCUGCUGGCAACACGAUCGAAUUGCGGGAACGUCCUAAAGCUCAACCUACUCCCUGCCCCUGAAAGGGGGCAGCACAGUCAUAAUGGCGGAGAUGUACAAUGGAUAAUCCGCAGCGAAGACCCUACAGCGCAAGCCACGGGUAUCGUUCACAGACUAAGUGAUUGUGGGUAGCGUGCUACUUAAGAUAUAGUCGGGCCCUGACCGAAAGGACAGGGAAAAACGUCCGUAGGUGAACCUGCGGAAGGAUCAUUAA
rnacentral:ncRNA from 1 species